CGUUUAAGACUAAGACGUUGAUAGGUUGGGUGUGUAAGCGUAGCGAUACGUUGAGCUAACCAAUACUAAUGAACCGUGAGGCUUAACCUG
rnacentral:rRNA from 1 species